AAGUAAGUUUGUUAUUGGUAUGAGCUUUCGUGUGCAUGCACACUUCUUCAGAUACACACUUAUCCGAAUAAGUAUUGCAUGCACACAAAAGCUCAUACCAAUAACAAACUUAGUUGG